GGGGCCUUAAUGGUUUCGACAGGUUGGCGAACGCUGCCCCGUGAUUCAGGUCGAGAGUGAGUCUUCUCUCGGAAAUACCGGGCUCAAAAAAAAAGUAAAUGCGAACAACAUCGUUCCUAUUGCUCGUCGUCAGGCAGUUGCUAUUGCCUAAUUUCCUCUAACGAGGCAUCGAGCGUCUGUAGUCCGACUCCGUUAAAGACCGCAGACACCAACCCCAACGGAUGCUCUAGUAAGCCUUCACUGGUAGACUUGCUAGCUAAGAUAAACCAGUGCAUCCUGUCAUCCGGGAUAAUGGAUGGUUCCCGCCUUGAGGGUCAGAUAGGCUAAACCUGUGAAUGAGCGGUAGGUUAAUACCCAAUUUGGACACGGGUUCGAUCCCCGUAGGCUCCACUU
rnacentral:tmRNA from 1 species